GCAAGUCGAACGAUGAUGGGAGCUUGCUCCUGGAUUAGUGGCGAACGGGUGAGUAACACGUGAGUAACCUGCCCUUAACUCUGGGAUAAGCCUGGGAAACUGGGUCUAAUACCGGAUAUGACUCCUCAUCGCAUGGUGGGGGGUGGAAAGCUUUAUUGUGGUUUUGGAUGGACUCGCGGCCUAUCAGCUUGUUGGUGAGGUAAUGGCUUACCAAGGCGACAACGGGUAGCCGGCCUGAGAGGGUGACCGGCCACACUGGGACUGAAACACGGCCCAAACUCCUACGGGAGGCAGCAGUGGGGAAUAUUGCACAAUGGGCGCAAGCCUGAUGCAGCGACCCCGCGUGAGGGAUGACGGCCUUCGGGUUGUAAACCUCUUUCAGUAGGGAAGAAGCGAAAGUGACGGUACCUGCAAAAAAAGCGCCGGCUAACUACGUGCCAGCAGCCGCGGUAAUACGUAGGGCGCAAGCGUUAUCCGGAAUUAUUGGGCGUAAAGAGCUCGUAGGCGGUUUGUCGCGUCUGCCGUGAAAGUCCGGGGCUCAACUCCGGAUCUGCGGUGGGUACGGGCAGACUAGAGUGAUGUAGGGGAGACUGGAAUUCCUGGUGUAGCGGUGAAAUGCGCAGAUAUCAGGAGGAA
rnacentral:rRNA from 1 species